GAUGAACGCUGGCGGCGUGCCUAAUACAUGCCAGUCGAGCGAACAGACGAGGAGCUUGCUCCUCUGACGUUAGCGGCGGACGGGUGAGUAACACGUGGAUAACCUACCUAUAAGACUGGGAUAACUUCGGGAAACCGGAGCUAAUACCGGAUAAUAUAUUGAACCGCAUGGUUCAAUAGUGAAAGACGGUUUUGCUGUCACUUAUAGAUGGAUCCGCGCCGCAUUAGCUAGUUGGUAAGGUAACGGCUUACCAAGGCGACGAUGCGUAGCCGACCUGAGAGGGUGAUCAGCCACACUGGAACUGAGACACGGUCCAGACUCCUACGGGAGGCAGCAGUAGGGAAUCUUCCACAAUGGGCGAAAGCCUGACGGAGCAACGCCGCGUGAGUGAUGAAGGUCUUCGGAUCGUAAAACUCUGUUAUUAGGGAAGAACAAAUGUGUAAGUAACUAUGCACGUCUUGACGGUACCUAAUCAGAAAGCCACGGCUAACUACGUG
rnacentral:rRNA from 1 species